rnacentral:lncRNA from 1 species
GCAACGCCAACCUAAAGAAGGAAAGGCCAGUUUUCAUUUCUUUCAUAGCUCGAAGGUCACGGAGGUCAUAACGUAAUACGUAUCAUGCGACGGCGGAGAGGUUGGGUGAGAAAGGAGAGAGAAAAGGCCAGAGACAUCAGUCGAGUGAGGAUCUCCGACACGGAAACAUCUGCUGCGCACUAUCUGUCACCUUCUGCCUUCUUCACCGUAUUGCCAGUUCGCAUCCAUGGUUAAUGGGUGUUGUAUCGUUGUUUGGUGGGUCGACCACUGGUGUACCGAUGUCUUCUUGGUAUGGCGGAUACCAAGCCGCAGACCAGUUAUUGCACCAAGGUCUACAAGUACUACACUACUAAGGCACCGGAGUUUUAUACCACAAUUUCCGCUGCCCCGAGCCACUACACUGACGUCCUGAAGUAUUACUCUGCCCCGAGUUACUACACCACCAAGGCGACGGAGUAUGACUAUGCAUGCUGCCCCAUCCUACUACAUCGAGGCUCCCAAGUAUUACUGUGUUCUGAGCUACUUAUUGCGCCGAUUUUCCUAAAUACUACUCUGUUCCCAGCUGCUACACCGAGGCUCGCGCUGAUUACUCCACCGAAGCGGCAAAGUACUUCUCUGCCCCGAUCUACACAACCACAACUGAGGCGGCCAAGUAUUACGCUGUCCCGACGUACUACAGAGAAGCUGCUCUUUCGUGCUACGUUGAACAGAAAUACUACACUGAUGCUCCAGUUCACUACACUACGACCGACGCUAAACCGCAGCCCCCAGGUACUACACCGAAGAAGCCGCCUAUUACAUAACAACGUAUGCUGCCCCUCCCUACUACACCGAGGCCCCGCAUUACUACAACACUGAAUCGCUCAAUUACUACACUACAACUACGCUGCCCUGA